rnacentral:rRNA from 1 species
UUAAAUUGAAGAGUUUGAUCAUGGCUCAGAUUGAACGCUGGCGGCAGGCCUAACACAUGCAAGUCGAACGGUAACAGGAAGCAGCUUGCUGCUUUGCUGACGAGUGGCGGACGGGUGAGUAAUGUCUGGGAAACUGCCUGAUGGAGGGGGAUAACUACUGGAAACGGUAGCUAAUACCGCAUAACGUCGCAAGACCAAAGAGGGGGACCUUCGGGCCUCUUGCCAUCGGAUGUGCCCAGAUGGGAUUAGCUUGUUGGUGGGGUAACGGCUCACCAAGGCGACGAUCCCUAGCUGGUCUGAGAGGAUGACCAGCCACACUGGAACUGAGACACGGUCCAGACUCCUACGGGAGGCAGCAGUGGGGAAUAUUGCACAAUGGGCGCAAGCCUGAUGCAGCCAUGCCGCGUGUAUGAAGAAGGCCUUCGGGUUGUAAAGUACUUUCAGCGGGGAGGAAGGGAGUAAAGUUAAUACCUUUGCUCAUUGACGUUACCCGCAGAAGAAGCACCGGCUAACUCCGUGCCAGCAGCCGCGGUAAUACGGAGGGUGCAAGCGUUAAUCGGAAUUACUGGGCGUAAAGCGCACGCAGGCGGUUUGUUAAGUCAGAUGUGAAAUCCCCGGGCUCAACCUGGGAACUGCAUCUGAUACUGGCAAGCUUGAGUCUCGUAGAGGGGGGUAGAAUUCCAGGUGUAGCGGUGAAAUGCGUAGAGAUCUGGAGGAAUACCGGUGGCGAAGGCGGCCCCCUGGACGAAGACUGACGCUCAGGUGCGAAAGCGUGGGGAGCAAACAGGAUUAGAUACCCUGGUAGUCCACGCCGUAAACGAUGUCGACUUGGAGGUUGUGCCCUUGAGGCGUGGCUUCCGGAGCUAACGCGUUAAGUCGACCGCCUGGGGAGUACGGCCGCAAGGUUAAAACUCAAAUGAAUUGACGGGGGCCCGCACAAGCGGUGGAGCAUGUGGUUUAAUUCGAUGCAACGCGAAGAACCUUACCUGGUCUUGACAUCCACGGAAGUUUUCAGAGAUGAGAAUGUGCCUUCGGGAACCGUGAGACAGGUGCUGCAUGGCUGUCGUCAGCUCGUGUUGUGAAAUGUUGGGUUAAGUCCCGCAACGAGCGCAACCCUUAUCCUUUGUUGCCAGCGGUCCGGCCGGGAACUCAAAGGAGACUGCCAGUGAUAAACUGGAGGAAGGUGGGGAUGACGUCAAGUCAUCAUGGCCCUUACGACCAGGGCUACACACGUGCUACAAUGGCGCAUACAAAGAGAAGCGACCUCGCGAGAGCAAGCGGACCUCAUAAAGUGCGUCGUAGUACGGAUUGGAGUCUGCAACUCGACUCCAUGAAGUCGGAAUCGCUAGUAAUCGUGGAUCAGAAUGCCACGGUGAAUACGUUCCCGGGCCUUGUACACACCGCCCGUCACACCAUGGGAGUGGGUUGCAAAAGAAGUAGGUAGCUUAACCUUCGGGAGGGCGCUUACCACUUUGUGAUUCAUGACUGGGGUGAAGUCGUAACAAGGUAACCGUAGGGGAACCUGCGGUUGGAUCACCUCCUUACCUUAAAGAAGC